AAGAAAUCAAGUAGUUCCGCAUCAGUGUGUGUCCCCUGUUCUAAUCAUCGGCUUCUGUUCUGGAAAGUUGUGUCAUCUGUUCUGAGCAAUGACGUAUGUUCUGGAAAGACUGUGGGCUGGGAGACGGGAGCUGGCUCUCCUGGGGUGAGGGGAGGGUUCCUAAUAAUGCAAAUGCUGGCUGCGUGGCUGGCUUGUCUGCCUGUCCCCUCGAGCACCACAAUGUGGAGAUGGGACCAUGCGUCCAAGGGUCCCCUCACUGGGCUAUUAACAACAAAAACCGUGAUUGAAUUUCGAGGGUUUGACGGAGCACAGCCCCUUCUGUCUUGAGUCCUGAAGCCGUAGAAAAAUGAACACCAGGAAGAUAAAAUCAUUUGCUGUGGGACCAAUGUGCGAUUUGUCAUCUGGAAGCUGUUUACUCUAAUUCCAGACAAAAUUGUGAAAAGGAAUUGAUCAACCUUAGGGGGUUCUUACAAGGAAAAAACACAUAUGCCUAUGAAGACUUCCCCUUGAACACUUCAGAAUUCCUUGUGGUCUCUCCAUCCUGUUGACAUGAUACUGUUCAGGAUGCAAACGUCUUUAACCUGGAUCUGUGCAACAUCCUUCCAAAUGUUGGCUCUGCCUGCACUUGUGUCUUCCUGCAGUGAUCCAGCCACCAUGAUACAGCCACAGGGCUUCUUUUAAAGAACAAAUCACAUCACAUCAACCCCAAACCCAUCCUGCUUAAUAAAGCUCAUUGCCUCCCAUUGAUGUUGCGAGCAAAUUUAAACUCCUUAGGAUGGCUUACAAGGACCCUUGUUAUCAGACUCCUGCCAACCCUUCCUUCUGCCUCUCACCUCUCCUCCUGGUGUGUUCUCCUCACAUGUGGGCCACCCAUGUGAUGGUUCCUCUGCCUAGAACCAGGACUGCUCCACCCUCACCCCUAUUUCAGGAUCAGUCCCGCUUACUCUUCUGGUGUCAGCUUCAACACUACUUCCUCUGAGAAACCUUUUCCAGUUUUCCAAGCAUGUGCUUGCUAUGUGCUGCCUCUGUACACAUCCAGCGGUGAGAGCUCCAACAGAGCGCUGAGCUCUCAGCACAGCGUAUUAUAAUUGCCACCAAGUGUCAGUGUCCACCUCUAGGUUUCCAGCUCUAGCAGCAUAAAGAUCCUUCUCAUUUGUCUACGUUUCAUCCUGAUGAAAAUGGAGCCUAGGCAGAGAUACUCUAUCAGGGUAGGGGGAAAAGUGAUAACUGUAUGGAAAUAGGGCACUAUGACCCCACAAAAGUAGGAUAAAGAAAGACUAAGCCUCUUGAGAAGAUGAUGAGGAACAGAAUAUUCAUACAGUCUCACAGUCUCAUCCCACAAAUCACUCACUAAUUUCAGAGGGAAAACAUGGCUUCACAAUGGAGAGACCAUGCAAGCACCACCUUCAUCAAGCGAUCAGACUCAGCCACCUCGUUUAUGUGCACCUAGUUAUGUGCAUCCCUGGGUGCACAUAGGCUAUGGCCCCGCCGGAUGAUGCACACUGAAGACCAUGACGUCAUCCAUGGAACGUUGCCAGCAAUAGGUGUCCUGAAUCUGAUCAUGAGGAAACUGUCAGACAAAUCCAGAGGUAUACUGAGUGCUCAUAGGCAUAUUGCUAUGCACUGAGCCACCAUGUAAAAUGUAUGUCCCAUUGGUCAUGGUCAAGAAUGCUUAAAAUUUCCAUUUCUAGAAAGGAAGUCCAUGAGUUUUGUUGAUGAGAUUUCUUGAGCUUCCUCGCUUCUUGCUCUUCCGCUGCCUGGCUACUGGGCCCUGACACCAUUUUGUUAGCUUUCUAGUGUCCUUCCAGUACAUCCCCCUUGUUGCUUCUGUUAAUCUGAGUCUACAGCAAGCCUAGAACUGCGACAAUUACAGUUCCAUGCUUCUAUUUGGUGUUCCCUUCAUCAGAACUCUCUCAACUACUGGUCACGGAAACCAGCUCAAACCAGCUUAGGCACAAAAAGACAAUUUAUUGCCUCAUAUAAUUAAAAAGUCUGGUCAUAUCUACAAAAUAAAUCAUCAGGUUUCUAUUUCUUGUUCCAUCUUUCUGACAUCUAUCUUCACAUGGAAGGGCUAAUGGCUACUAGAAUCGCAAGACUCACAUCCUAUCAGUUGAGUGGCCUGAUGCUGAUUAAUAGAAAACAGCUAUCUCUAUAGAUCUGGCAGAAAGGUCUCAGGGA
ensembl:lncRNA